rnacentral:rRNA from 1 species
GACGAACGCUGGCGUCGUGCUUAACACAUGCAAUUCGAACGAGUGGCGAACGGGUGAGUAAUACGUGAGUAACCUGCCCUCUUUUUGGGAUAAGCCUUGGAAACGGGGUCUAAUACCGGAUACAGGGGGAGGGGCUCGGGGCCUAUCAGCUUGGUGGUGGGUUGAUGGCCUACCAAGGCGGUGACGGGUAGACGGCCUGCGAGGGUGAACUGCCACAGUGGGACUGGGAUAAGUCCCAGGAUCCUACGGGGGGGAGCAGGGGGGGAUAGUGCAGAAUGGGCGAAAGGCGUAUGCAGCGACGCCGAGGGGGGGAUGAAGGCUUUCGGGUUGUAAACCUCUUUCGCUAUCGAACGGGUAGGUGGAGAAGAAGCGCCGGCUAACUACGUGCCAGCAGCCGCGGUAAUAC